rnacentral:rRNA from 1 species
GUGAAAUUGUUGAAAGGGAAGCGCUUGCAACCAGACCUGCCUGCAGUUGCUCAUCCGGGCUUUUGCCCGGUGCACUCUUCUGCUGUCAGGCCAGCAUCGGUUCGGGCGGUCGGAUAAAGGCUUCGGGAAUGUAGCUCCUCUCGAGGAGUGUUAUAGCCCGUUGCGAAAUGCGGCCAGCCUGAACUGAGGUCCGCGCUUCGGCUAGGAUGCUGGCGUAAUGGUUGUAAGCGGCCCGUCUUGAAACACGGACCAAGGAGUCUAACAUCUGUGCGAGUGUUUGGGUGUCAAACCCGUACGCGUAAUGAAAGUGAACGGAGGCGGGAACCCCUCGGGGUGCACCGUCGACCGAUCCUGAUGUCUUCGGAUGGAUUUGAGUAAGAGCAUAGCUGUUGGGACCCGAAAGAUGGUGAACUAUGCCUGAAUAGGGUGAAGCCAGAGGAAACUCUGGUGGAGGCUCGCAGCGGUUCUGACGUGCAAAUCGAUCGUCAAAUUUGGGCAUAGGGGCGAAAGACUAAUCGAACUAUCUAGUAGCUGGUUCCUGCCGAAGUUUCCCUCAGGAUAGCAGUAACGUUUUCAGUUUUAUGAGGUAAAGCGAAUGAUUAGAGGCCUGGGGGUUGAAACAACCUUCACCUAUUCUCAAACUUUAAAAUAUGUAAGAAGUCCUUGUUGCUUAGUUGAACGUGGAC